rnacentral:rRNA from 1 species
UACGUAGGGGGCUAGCGUUGUCCGGAAUCAUUGGGCGUAAAGAGCGCGUAGGCGGCUGGAAUAGUCCGGUGUGAAAUCCACAGGCUUAACCUGUGAAUGCCGCUGGAAACUGUCUGGCUAGAGUCCGGAAGGGGCGAGUGGAAUUCCUGGUGUAGCGGUGAAAUGCGCAGAUAUCAGGAGGAACACCGAUGGCGAAGGCAGUUCUCUGGGCCGUAACUGACGCUGAGGAGCGAAAGCGUGGGGAGCGAACAGG